rnacentral:lncRNA from 1 species
UGUGUUUACCUAGGUCAAAGGUUCUUAAUCUCAGCGCACAUCAGAAUCACCUAGAAAGCUCAUUACAACAGGAAUUGCUGACCCCUCCCCCCAAAAAGUUCUGAUUUAGUAAGUUUGGGUGGAAAUCUGGGCCUGAGAAUAUGCAUUUUUGUCAGCUUCCUCAGUGAGACUGACAGCCAGCAUCCCACACUUUGAAAGCCACUGCAUUAUGACAUCUGUGCUCUUAAUUAGCUGUGUGUUCUGGUAACAAAAUUUUCAUUGUUAACUGUUCCAAAACUUACAUAUCAGGGGUUAUACUGUUUUGAGUAAGUUUCCUAAAAUGAUUCCGCAAACUGAUCCCAGGUUCUGAAUUUCCUGGUGUCAAGGGUCUCUGGAAUGUGUUACUGCAUUGAAAGAGCCCCAUCUCUAGAGCACCCUUGCAUGGAGUGGUUUAUCAUUCUACCCUGUGGUGACCCACACAGCUACCUGUGGUUCCUGAGCUCAGAGGUGGCAGUGGGGUCCCAUGCUGCGCUGGGGUUCUGCCCGAGGGCCUGUGUCUGUUCCCUUGAAAUCGGGUUCAGAAGCCACACAGCUGGGUUUCCAGGAGUGCCUGAGUGUCUAUCUCUUCCUCUUCCUCUGCUUUUCUUUUUGCCCUGUGAAUCAGUGGGAAAUCCCCCUAGAAUCUCCAGACCAGUGGCCCUGUGUCUGAGCUGUAGAUGCGGGUCAGAGAUAAUGGUAGGUUCAGUGCAGGGCCUGGCAAUUCCCGGGCCAGAGGGUUUCCUAAACAUCACUCCAGGCCUUAAGAUCCUUAAUUAAGCCACCAGAGGCCCAGAAGACAUGGCAGUUUUCCCUGAGCUCUCUACACUGAAGCUGUAACUACACUUCUGCUUCUGCCUGGGGACGCAUUCCUUUGCUAGUCCUGAAGGUAAGGCCUGGCUGCUUGGGAAAGGGCUGGACAAGGUAUGUCAGGAGAGACCAUUCUCUUCGAAUCUGUUAGUCUGGCUUGCGGGAAUUCCUUAUUCAUUCAACAACACAUGUAUUAAAUACUAGGCAGUGUUGUGGGCAGCCUGCAACUGGGGAUACACCGGAGCUUACAUUCUGUUGGAGCAAGACAGGUAACAAGGCACACAAAAAAACUCAAGGGCAGCAUUAGCCCAGAAGCCAGCAGUCUAGACUGCAGCCCUGCCCUCUAGCUGCCUGGCUUGCCUCCUGCUCCUGCUGCGGCAGCCUCAGACCCCAGACCCCAGGCCUUGCUUACCUCCACCUUCCCGCCGGGCCUUGGUCUUCCUGCAGCUGCUGUGACUCUGUUGUGUGGAGCCUCACAUAGCAUCAGUAUCC